AGCACGUCUCGGGUGUUAUUUCAGAAAUUGCGCGUGUGUUUAUGCCCGUCUUGCAUAUCAUUCGCAAGCUGGCUGAGCCUCACAGUUAAGCCAUUUGUGUACUGGCGUAUGUGGCUAGGCUAACUGAUUUAGCAUGCUACGCACUACGCCACGCUAGCCGUCAUGCUACUGCUGAUGCGUUGGAAAAAUGGGAGGUGAACCCAUUCUCCUCGCUCGGACUGACACGAUGCGCUGCGUGUAAAGGCUUUACGGUUACGCUAAUUACGGAGCCACAUGCAGCCCGCAGCCAUUCUCAAUUCAAUUUUUUCCCCUCCCUCAUUGCACCGAGAGAGUAUCUGUGCGACUCGGGCUUCGUCGUGUGACAGACUGCGCAUGCAGGGCCGGCUACAACAACAACGACGAGCCCCCCGCCUGACGGGCCGUGUGAUGUGUGGGGGUGUGUUCGCCCUAGCGAACUACCAUCUUCCUUUUCCGCCAGCAGCAGCGUGCAACCGUUGCAGAGGGAACAAUUAGGCAGCGAUGUAAAGUGUAUUACUUCACUGUGUACUUUUCAGUCCAGGAAUUAUUGUGGUGCUUUAAUCGAGUAAGACUACUGUUAUCUCACGUUACUAUGACUGAAGUGAAGAUACAAAGCAGUCCUUUGUAAAACAAAUACUUAGUGCUGAGUAACUCAGUUUUUUUUUAAAAAUAAUUUAGUUUUUUAAAAUCAGAACAUGAAUGGCAUGUGCAUUUAAUUUAUUGGCCAACAGAGGUUGAUUUUCCGCCAGUUUCUGUAAAGCUCCUGAGCCCAUACCAACAGGUCAGCACGAGGGAGUCCCUGCUAUGCUUUGCCCCAUCUCGAGUGGAUUGCAGCAUUACUGAUGCAAAGAGGCAG